rnacentral:rRNA from 1 species
AUUGAACGCUGGCGGAAUGCUUUACACAUGCAGGUCGAACGGCAGCACGGACUUCGGUCUGGUGGCGAGUGGCGAACGGGUGAGUAAUGUAUCGGAACGUGCCCAGUCGUGGGGGAUAACGUAGUGAAAAUUACGCUAAUACCGCAUACGAUCUAUGGAUGAAAGCGGGGGAUCGCAAGACCUCGCGCGAUUGGAGCGGCCGAUAUCAGAUUAGGUAGUUGGUGGGGUAAAGGCCCACCAAGCCAACGAUCUGUAGCUGGUCUGAGAGGACGACCAGCCACACUGGAACUGAGACACGGUCCAGGCUCCUACGGGAGGCAGCAGUGGGGAAUUUUGGACAAUGGGCGAAAGCCUGAUCCAGCCAUUCCGCGUGCAGGAUGAGGGCCCUCGGGUUGUAAGCUGCUUUUGUACAGAACGAAAAGGUUUCUACUAAUACUAGGAGCUCAUGACGGUACUGUAAGAAUAAGCACCGGCUAACUACGUGCCAGCAGCCGCCGUAA